rnacentral:tRNA from 1 species
ACCUGGCUGGCUCAGUUGGUAAAGCAUUCGACUCUGAUCUCAGGGUCAUGAGUUCAAGCCUCAUGCUGGGCA